AUAGGGUUGGGAAUCCAGGGGAGCAAUGGAGGAAAUGAUAAGCCUGAACAAACUCACUCUCAGAUGGGAGAGGAAGAGGCUGCACAGUCAGUCAAGGAAAGCCUGAUGGUCUCUGGUUCUUCACCUCUCAGGUAGUAAAGCUGCUGUUCUCCCCACUUACAGGAGGAAAUCCCCACAGCCCAGCUCUUACAAAAAUGUAAUUCUUAAGCCCUAGGACAGAGUGAUGAACCUUCUUCCAAGGAUGCCCAGAGGAGCUCCAGUCUGCACCUUCACCUUGGACGAUGUCUCCUGGCUUCCAGCAUAGAUCUUCCAGCCUUCCAUCACUGACCCUUCAGCCACCUGAUAUGGACUUGCACAGGACAUUACAGUGAACUCCAGGCCUUCAGUCUUUGAUUGAUCCUUUGGAUCUCAAGCAUGCAGACAGCCCUUUUGUUCUCUUCCACACAUGACUCUGUAGGCAGCCGUUAUAGAGGAGCAAGAGUGAGUUCCCAAGGGCCUGCUGAAGUGGCCCAGGAAGAAGAGAAGCUGGGAGAUGACUGCUUUUUUGCAAACUCAAAUCAGAAAAUGUGCGUGUGACCACAUGGCUUCUGUCAACAGAUUAGGAAGGGAAAGCAGAAAGCUUCCCUCCAGGAGCUGAGAUUACCGUGCAAACAA